GUUUUUUUUUGUUCAUCACUCAGACCCUCAAUAAUGGGUGGAUUUCAUAACCGCUUCAAACUUCUCACCUAUAUAUAGUUCAUGUCAUACACCAGGGCCGUGCAUCUCAAAUCAACUCACAUUUUUGAAACCCGCAUAGAUUUCAUCCAGUAGUCGAAAUGUCCUCUGGUGCAUCUCAAAUCUCCGACUUGGCUGUAAAAACGGAUGAAAAGAUUGACAGAGCAUACCCGCGUGAUUUCAUGAAAGUUGGGAGAGUUGUAGUUCAUUUGAAAAGGGAGGAUGAGACUUUACUCAAUCCUGCCAUUACUUCAAGAAACUGUAUUAACCAAGACCAACCAUUCAAAGACCAUGGCAUCUGAGAGAUACUACAAAGUAGAUGUGUAGCUGUAACAGAAACAGGCGGCGACAUAACCAAAUGACAACACAAUCGUAGUUUCAGAUGAUCAAAUAGUAAACCAAAAGGAAAGACUUUUGUUUAACUCACCAACCAUGUAUAGCUUGGAGGAACGAUUUCAGCCUGCAAAAGACCAAUCAAAAAGGCAGAGAUUGUGACCAGCACGAUCCAGAUCUUUACUGUAUGCUUCGUUUGUCCUAUACAUAAAAGGAUAUGCAAAAGUGUUAAGUACAAGAUACAUGAAGAUAUGAUCAUGGGUUUUCGAGAAGUUGUUUAAGGAAUCACUUAUCAAGCCUAAUAUAUGAACUAAUAAAUCAAUGAGAAUGUUAAAGUUUUCAUUUGCUGACA